AGCGGCAGGAUGCAGCUUUAAUCCUAACCCUUUUUUUUUUUUUUUUUUUUUGAUUUUGUUAAAAAGGUCAGAAAACCGGAUAGACGUGCGUUAACAUUUGCACUCGUUUCCACCGAUGAGAGAAAUUGAAGGCCUUGAUUUUGGAUUUUACAACAUGACAUUAUAGGAAAUCCCCACCACACACACACACAAACACACACACACACAGCUUUUCCUAGUUAGCCUGGAAUGAACAGUAUGUGUGGCACAUGAAAUGUCUAUGGCUCAUUUAUCCUUCAUCAGUCAAGAGGAGAAAGACAAACAGCUAUAAAGGGCGUCAUAUCCACAUAGAAAAGCACCAGUGGAACAGGUUGCACGAGCAGCAGCUGACAGGAAGGCAUGUGUCUCUCACACCCUGGCUGAUCUUUUUCCUUUAUUUUCUUCUUUUUUUUAAGACUUUUGGAGAAGUGGAUCACAGAUUUUUUUUAUUUUUUGACAACACAAACAAGUCUGACCUGAUUUCUUUCUGUCUUAAUAUCUUAAGACUAUCAAACUCUAGUGAAUAAAUAUGCUGAAUAAAGUGACUCUUUUCUUAAAGAGAUUAAAAUAAACCGAAACAAAGAGGUGAUACAUAAAUUCGUUCAUGAUUAAAGGGGGAUGUGGUAGUGGAAGAAGAGGAAGAGACAGACUAAACGAUGAGACAGCAGUCCAGCUGCGGUCUCCACAAACAGCUCAGCAACAGGUCCAGAGAUCUGUCAGACUAAAUCACUGUUACGAUCCCAAUUUGUCUGAGUCACGGGGAGAAAAGUCGUGGGGAGAAAACUUUGACUGUUCGUUGCGUUAACGAUCAUCGUCGCUGCAGAUCUAUAAAAUCAUCAGCAGAAGUGAUGCGGAAGCGAAACGUUUAAUCUAGAGUUUGCAAAAUCCUUCAGGGCUAUUUCCAAAUAUACUUAACUUCUUCCCUUAUGCUCUUCCACUAUAAAAACUUUAUAACUUGGCGAAAG